UGUAUGUUGUUUUCCGGGUUCUACUUACUUCAUGCACUCAGGUCAUAGAAGUCUUUCCAUGCUUUUUGGAUGCUUCUCUUUCAAUAGAAUCUGUCCUUUGGAAACCUUUGGGCAGUCUGGCAAGAGCAUUCCUGACAGCAGAAUAGCAGGAGCUUUCUUGGCCUUUUGGAUUCCUACACUUCUGCUGCUUGAAGUUGACUCCUGGCCUGGGCAUUCUAAGUAGGGCAUCAUUUGGCUGGGCUCUAAUGCCUGGCAGGUGUGGGAGAGGCUUUGCCAUUCUAGGUGUCCAGGGAACCCGUACACAAGUUCAACUUUUGCAGAUGUUUUCAAGUUGCCUGAAACAUCUCCAAUAUCCCAGGCAGGGACAGCCAAUUGAAGCUCCAGUCAAUACACACCCCUCCCCUUUCCUCACCAGAGGCAUCCCUUCUGCCAGCCUCCUUCCCCCUUCCUCCCUUCCUCCAAGCCUGCCUGACUUAGGAAGAACCUGAAUCUGAAUCUCCACAACCUGCUUCCUCUUCUCCAUUAUUCCAAGGGGCAAUCCUUCAGCUCAACAAAGAUGAUUUGGAAGCAAAUUCUUUUCCUCUCUUGCCUUACCACAUUGGUGCUUUUAGCUAUUCUUGAGGUUGGGGAAGGUGCAGCUGUGGGCUCUAAGCAAGAAGCUGGAGAAGAGGACAAAGAAAAUUUGAAAAAGAUCUUCCUCCAGGAACCAGAUGCUUCUAAUUUCUUCAAAAAGCGUGCCAAGAGAUCCCCAAAAUCGCGGGAUGAGCUGAAUGCCGAGAAUAGGCAACAGCUGCGAGCAGAUGAACAUCGGCGGGAGUAUUACGAGGAGCAAAGGAACGAGUUUGAGAACUUUGUGGAGGAACAGAAUGAUGAACAAGAGGAGCGGAGCCGGGAACAGAUCGAGCAAUGGCGUCAGUGGCACUACGAUGGCCUGUACCCGCCGUAUCUCUAUAACCGCCACCGCAUCUAGCCUCGAGCUGGAAGCAGACUCCUCCGGAAGUUCGAAAGGACAUUUACAAUUGCUGGUUACACAGGGACACACUGGUUGAGAGAUACGGAUGGGGAGGAGCUAUGCUUCCUUUUUUAUGUGACCUGGAGAGUCCAGAGGCCAAAGUAAUCUAAUAGAGCAGGCCAAACUUAGAGUCGUUUCUGCCUGCUGUGCUCUUCAAAGCUGGAUGGCUGAUCAAAGGAACAGAGCCCCCACUCAGUCAAUAAAUAAAAAGUAUAUGUUUGCUUGAA